rnacentral:snRNA from 1 species
AUAGAACUUGGCAGGGGAGAUGCCAUGGUCACCGACAUGGUUUUCCUUGGCAAGGCUGACUCACUACACUCUAGAUGUGCUGAACCCUGCAAUUUCCCCAAAAGCGUGUAGUGGGGAACUGUGUUCAUGUUCUCCCCU